CACGGGUGCGUAACGCGUAUGCAACCUACCUUUAACUGGGACAUAGCCCCGAGAAAUCGGGAUUAAUAUCCCAUAAUAUCCAGAAAACGCAUGUUUUCUGGAUUAAAGUUCCGGCGGUUAAAGAUGGGCAUGCGUGGCAUUAGUUAGUUGGUGAGGUAACGGCUCACCAAGGCAAUGAUGCCUAGGGGUCCUGAGAGGGUUUUCCCCCACACUGGUACUGAGACACGGACCAGACUCCUACGGGAGGCAGCAGUAAGGAAUAUUGGGCAAUAGGCGCAAGCCUGACCCAGCCAUGCCGCGUGCAGGAUGACGGCCCUAUGGGUUGUAAACUGCUUUUGUAUGGGAAAAAACUCCCGCACGUGUGCGGGACUGAUUGUACCAUACGAAUAAGCAUCGGCUAACUCCGUGCCAGCAGCCGCGGUAAUACGGAGGAUGCAAGCGUUAUCCGGAUUUAUUGGGUUUAAAGGGUGCGCAGGCGGAUUAGUAAGUCAGUGGUGAAAGCUCCCGGCUCAACCGGGAAAAUGCCAUUGAUACUGUUAAUCUUGAGUACAGUUGAGGUUGGCGGAAUGUAUCAUGUAGCGGUGAAAUGCAUAGAUAUGAUACAGAACACCGAUAGCGAAGGCAGCUUACCAAACUGUAACUGACGCUCAUGCACGAAAGCGUGGGGAGCAAACAGGAUUAGAUACCCUGGUAGUCCACGCUGUAAACUAUGAUCACUCGCUGUUGGCGAUACACUGUCAGCGGCUUAGCGAAAGUGUUAAGUGAUCCACCUGGGGAGUACGAUGGCAAGGUUGAAACUCAAAGGAAUUGUCGGGGGCCCGCACAAGCGGAGGAGCAUGUGGUUUAAUUCGAUGAUACGCGAGGAACCUUACCUGGGGUUAAAUGCAGAACGACCUCCCGAGAAAUCGGGACUUCCUUCGGGACGGAUUGCAAGGUGCUGCAUGGUUGUCGUCAGCUCGUGCCGUGAGGUGUCGGGUUAAGUCCCAUAACGAGCGCAACCCUUAUCCUUAGUUGCCAACAGGUAAUGCUGGGAACUCUAAGGAAACUGCCUACGCAAGUAGUGAGGAAGGUGGGGAUGACGUCAAAUCAGCACGGCCCUUAUGUCCAGGGCUACACACGUGCUACAAUGGUCGGUACAGAGGGCAGCUACCUGGCAACAGGAUGCUAAUCUCG
rnacentral:rRNA from 1 species